rnacentral:rRNA from 1 species
CAGUAGCCGCGGUAAUACGUAGGUGGCUAGCGUUGUCCGGAAUUAUUGGGCGUAAAGCGCGCGCAGGCGGAUCAGUCAGUCUGUCUUAAAAGUUCGGGGCUUAACCCCGUGAUGGGACGGAAACUGCUGAUCUAGAGUAUCGGAGAGGGAAGUGGAAUUCCUAGUGUAGCGGUGAAAUGCGUAGAUAUUAGGAAGAACACCAGUGGCGAAGGCGACUUUCUGGACGAAAACUGACGCUGAGGAGCGAAAGCGUGGGGAGCGAACAGGAUUAGAUACCCCUGUAGUCCCUGUCUCUUAUACA